rnacentral:rRNA from 1 species
CCUACGGGAGGCUGCAGUGAGGAAUAUUGGUCAAUGGCCGGAAGGCCGAACCAGCCAUGCCGCGUGAAGGUCAGUGCCCUAUGGGCGUUAAACUUCUUUUGUGCGGGAGCAAUAAUGGUCACGUGUGGCCAGACGAGAGUACCGUACGAAUAAGCCUCGGCUAACUCCGUGCCAGCAGCCGCGGUAAUACGGGGGAUGCAAGCGUUAUCCGGAUUUAUUGGGUUUAAAGGGUGCGUAGGCUGGGAGGUAAGUCAGCGGUGAAAUGCCCCCGCUCAACGGGGUGAAGUGCCAUUGAUACUGCCUUGCUUGAAUGCGGAUGCCGUGGGAGGAAUGUGUGGUGUAGCGGUGAAAUGCAUAGAUAUCACACAGAACACCGAUUGCGAAGGCAUCUCACGAAUCCGCGAUUGACGCUGAUGCACGAAAGCGUGGGUAUCAAACAGGAUUAGAUACCCGUGUAGUC